AUCAAUCCUGACCCUAGCUUACUCUCCAUUAGAGUCGGCCGAUAACAUCUGAAAUACAGGUCUGAAAGGGUAAAAACAGCCAGCUGAAUGAAGAAAUUUCUGAUGGUGAACAGAAAAGUACUACCGUGAAGGGUUGAACUCAACUGAUAAUUGAUGCAGGGAAUGUAACAAAAAAAUCUUCAGUUGAAGGAGGUGCAUUUCCUUGAGGCUUAUAGUCUGCAUAAUAACUGUUGGCUAAGCAUGUGAUAAACUCAAGAUGGACUUGCGUCUGAAAGUGUAGAGAUUGAUAACAUUGGCAAGUUACGACAAAAUAAGAGCGACCGUGAUGUAAUUAUUGGACAUUGCCUUUGAAAAAUAUUUAAAGAAUACCUGCGUUCAGCUAAUAUUUACUUCAAACAUAAAAAUCAAUAUGCAAAUAACCCGAAGUUUAGGAAAACAAACCAGACUAAAUUUGUGCAAGCCAAGGGGGGAAAAAAAUUCUGAAUGUAUUGAACAAGCCUAAUUGUCACUCAGUGUUUAAAUCUACACGUCAAACCUUUAAUAUGCUUACAGAGCAUACGUAAUGUUACACUUGGUAUAUGCACAUGAUUGAUACGACAUGUCAUACUUUGUUUGGAUUUUUUUUCCACAUGAGUCAUGAGGUUUUCAGAUUAUCAAAAUAAUUACAUACUGGUUGCCCUAAUAUGGCAAUUUAUGUCAGAGUGUGUUAUCAAGGGAAAUAACUCGUGUACCAGUGACUACUUUUGGUUUCAUGGCAGUAUAGGAAGUUUUCGAACUGAUGUUUAAGAUUUCAUUUACAUCUGGCCUUUGAUUUUUUAAAGGAAAUAAAUCUAUAACAAUUUGAAUUUUCAUUAAUUAAGCAUUCACAUAUUUU
rnacentral:sRNA from 1 species